rnacentral:lncRNA from 1 species
AUGUUCCAAGCACAGUCACACCAAGCAGUUAGAUAUAGUUGAGGUAUCAGCAAGGGGAAUCUAUAAAAAUUUUGGAAGAACAGUUGCUUUUGAACGUGAACUCAUAAUGGCGUGAGUGCGAGGAAUGACUUCGAGGCUCAAGGCAGGGAGCCCUCAAAACUGGGUCUGGUCCUCUCGCCGCAGGCAAAUCUGAUACCUCCUGUGGCUCUGAAUGGGUGGACUCGUGCAGCAAGGUAGUCACUGCAGGCCUCCAUCAGCCUAACCCACUUCCUGCGUUCGCCCCUCUGACCUCGCCAGCCUCUCAGUUUAAGUGGGAUCAAGGGCACUGAAACUGCAUCUUGCCCUCUGCCUGCAGGGGGCCCUGGCGAGUCUCCUCAUCGCCCUUCCCAUGAAAUACUGCCUUUUCCUAUUUUUGAUACUCAUUUUUUCAAAAGCCGAAUUUAUUUUUGCUUGACAUUAAUCAAAUUUUAAAGCCUGGAUUUUACCUUUUAAGCAAGGGACUCAGUCUGAACUAUGUAUCAAAGUUACCAGACAUAAAUAUCCAUUAAAUGAGAUCCCUUUGGUUUUGCCUUUUCACAGUAGUUUAAUUCUAAGUGACCUUGUCCACUAAGAUUUCUAUUUUAAAAUGAAAA